rnacentral:rRNA from 1 species
UGGGGAAUUUUGGACAAUGGGCGCAAGCCUGAUCCAGCCAUGCCGCGUGUCUGAAGAAGGCCUUCGGGUUGUAAAGGACUUUUGUCAGGGAAGAAAAGGACAGGGUUAAUACCCCUGUCUGAUGACGGUACCUGAAGAAUAAGCACCGGCUAACUACGUGCCAGCAGCCGCGGUAAUACGUAGGGUGCGAGCGUUAAUCGGAAUUACUGGGCGUAAA